rnacentral:lncRNA from 1 species
GAAGUGCAUAGUGGUCAUAGACCCCUAAGUUGGAAAACGUGGUUUCAAGUGUUGGUCUCAAGGACUACACCUUCUCGGUGAAGCUAGACAAUUCUCAUUCAAUCCCAAUUAAAAUAUUUUAACAUACCAUUAAUCAUAGAGUUUUCUAUUAAGGCAUUCCUAAAUUGGUAUCGUCUUACCAAGACUUGUAAGUCGUCCAUAUAAUGUCAUACCAUUUCCAUUUAACCAUUCA